CUGUUAGCUAGGUUUCAUUAAUGGAAAGGGGACGUAAAGUUGGCAGGAGGACUCAGCUAGCGUCCUUGUAACAGAACAAGCUUUCAGGAAAUAAAACCUGUUUUCACGGCGAGAUAAUAACCUUCCACAGACUAAAAAAUGGCGCAGUGGUGCCAGCUGCAGAUGCUGGACAGUAAGUACCUGGAGCAGGUGGACCAGCUGUACGAUGACUCCUUCCCCAUGGACAUCCGGCAGUACCUGAGCAGGUGGAUCGAGAGCAUCGACUGGGAUACGGUGGCGGUGCAGGACUCGCUGGCCACCAUCCGCUUCCACGACCUGCUGGCGCAGCUGGACGACCAGCACAGCCGCUUCGCUCUGGAGAGCAACUUCCUGCAGCAGCACAACUUCCGCAAGAUCAAGAGGAACCUGCAGGAUCGCUUCCAGGAGGACCCCGUUACCAUGGCGAUGAUCAUCUCCAGGAACCUGAAGGAGGAGCAGAAGAUCUUGGCCUGUGCAAAGGAAGCCGAGCAGGAAGGAGAAGGAACCGUGUCGGCCAUGGUGGUGGAGAAGCAGAAGCUGGACAACAAAGUGAAGGAGCUGAAAGACAAAGUUCAGUUCCUGGAUCAGAUGCUGAAGAACCUGGAGGACCUGCAGGACGAGUACGACUUCAAGAUGAACACGCUGAAGAACCAGAACGAGCUGAACGGCAUGUCGGCGAAGGAGCUGGAGAAGGAGAAGUUCAACACGGCCAGGAUGUGCAUCGAGCUGAAGCAGAAACGCCACGACGUGGUGUCCUUCCUGAGCGAGCUGCUGAACCUCACACAGAGUUUGAUCCAAGACCUGAUCAACGAGGAGCUGCCGGAGUGGAAGCAGCGGCAGCAGAUCGCCUGCAUCGGCGGCCCGCCCAACGCCUGCGUGGACCAGCUGCAGAACUGGUUCACCGCCGUCGCCGAGUCGCUGCAGCAGGUCCGGCAGCACCUGAACAAGAUGCUGGAGCUGGAGCAGAAGUUCACCUACGAAAACGACCCGAUCUCCCAGAAGAAGAGCCACCUGGAGAACCGCGCUCUGGACCUGCUGAAGAACCUGCUGUCCAGCUCUCUGGUGGUGGAGCGGCAGCCCUGCAUGCCCACACACCCACAGAGACCGCUGGUGCUGAAAACAGGCGUCCAGUUCACCGUCAAGCUCCGGUUCCUGGUGAAGCUUCAUGAGUUCAACUACCAGCUCAAAGUCAAAGCCGUGUUCGAUAAGGACGUCACAGAGAAGAAAGGGUUCCGUAAGUUCAACAUCCUGGGAACGAACACCAAGGUGAUGAACAUGGAGGAGUCCAACGGCAGCCUGGCGGCCGAGUUCAGGCAUCUGCAACUGAAGGAGCAGAAACUGGCCGGGAACAGAACCAACGAGGGUCCGCUGAUCGUCACCGAGGAGCUUCACUCGCUCAGCUUCGAGUCGGAGCUGCACCUGAACCAGUCCGGUUCUCCAGGACUCCACAUCAAGGUGGAGGCCAUGGCUAUGCCCCUCGUCGUCAUCUCCAACGUCUGCCAGCUGCCCAGCGGCUGGGCCUCCAUCCUCUGGUACAACAUGCUGACCACAGAACCCAAAAACCUCAAGUUCUUCCUGUCGCCGCCGUCCGCCAAGUGGUCCCAGCUGUCCGAGGUGCUGAGCUGGCAGUUCUCCUCCGUCACCAAGAGAGGCCUGAACCAGGAGCAGCUCAACAUGCUGGCCGACAAGCUGCUGGGAGCAAAAGCUCAGAGGAAUCCAGACGGGACGAUCCCCUGGACCAAGUUCUGCAAGCAAAGCGCCAAUGAGAAAUCGUUCCCCUUCUGGCUGUGGAUCGAAGGAAUCCUGGACCUUAUCAAGAGACACCUGCUGUCGCUGUGGAACGACGGCUGCAUCAUGGGCUUCAUCAGCAAGGAGAGGGAGAAGGCGCUGCUGAGCGACAAAUGUCCCGGGACGUUCCUGCUGAGGUUCAGCGAGAGCAGCAAGGAGGGCGCCAUCACCUUCACCUGGAUCGAGCACGACGUCCACGAUAAGCCCGUCUAUCACUCGGUGGAGCCGUACACCAAGAAGGAGCUGUCGGCCGUGUCGCUGCCCGACAUCAUCCGCACCUACAAGGUGAUGGCGGUGGAGAACAUCCCGGAGAACCCGCUGCGCUUCCUCUACCCCGACAUCCACAAGGACAAGGCCUUCGGGAAAUACUACCCCAAACCCUCAGAGACUCAAGAGCCGAUGGACACGGACGUCCAGGAGAUCCGCGGCUACAUGAAGACGGAGCUCAUCUCCGUGUCUGAAGUACCCCCGUCCAGACUGCAGGACAACAUGAUGCCCAUGUCGCCUGACGACUACAAGGUGCUGGAGCGAUACGUCAGUCCCAGAGACAUCGACGCUGUGAUGGACCUGCAGGACUUUGUCCCUCAGAUGAGUUCAGAGUUUCAGGAUGAGAACUGAAGACAAUCUGCCGCCGUUUCUCCGUCCCUCCUGGUUCUGGUCCUGGUUCUGGUUCUGGUCCUGGUUCUGGUCCUGGUACUGGUCCUGGUACUGGUUCUGGUCCUGGUUCUGGUUUUGGUCCUGGUUCUGGUCCUUUGUUUAGUCCAGUCGUCUGCAACCUUUACAAUCUAGAGACAUUUUAUUUUAUUUUAUUUUAUUUUCCAGUUUAAUAAAACGGGUCCAGAGCCACAAAACCA